UAUGGGAUCUCAUGUACUUUUAU
rnacentral:miRNA from 1 species